AUUGAACGCUGGCGGCAGGCCUAACACAUGUAAGUCGAGCGAGCGGCGUACGGGUGAGUAAUGUAUGGGGACUGCCCGUUAGAGGGGGAUAACUACUGGAAACGGUGGCUAAUACCGCAUACUAUCGGAUAACCCAUAUGGGAUUAGCUAUUAGGUGGGGUAAAGGCUCACCUAGGCGACGAUCUCUAGCUGGUCUGAGAGGAUGAUCGGCAACACUGGUACGGAGACACGGCCCAGACUCCUACGGAGGAAGAAGUGGGGAAUAUUGCACAAUGGGCGCAAGCCUUAUGCAGCCAUGCCGCGAGGAUGAAGAAGGCCUUAGGGUUGUAAAGUACUUUCAGCGGGGAGGCGUUGCCCGCAGAAGAAGCACCGGCUAACUCCGUGCCAGCAGCCGCGGUAAUAC
rnacentral:rRNA from 1 species